GGCAGUGUGGUAGAGGUUUGGAUGUUGGACUAGUACCCUGGAGACCAGGGUUCAAAUCCUUGCUUAGUCA